rnacentral:rRNA from 1 species
AACGAACGCUGGCGGCAUGCCUAACACAUGCAAGUCGAACGGGAUCCUGGCUUCGGUCAGGUGAGAGUGGCGGACGGGUGAGUAACGCGUGGGAACCUGCCCAGUGGUGGGGGAUAACUGCGGGAAACUGCAGCUAAUACCGCAUGAGCCCGAGAGGGGAAAGAUUUAUCGCCAUUGGAGGGGCCCGCGUUCGAUUAGGUAGUUGGUGAGGUAACGGCUCACCAAGCCGACGAUCGAUAGCUGGUCUGAGAGGAUGAUCAGCCACACUGGGACUGAGAUACGGCCCAGACUCCUACGGGAGGCAGCAGUGGGGAAUAUUGGACAAUGGGGGCAACCCUGAUCCAGCAAUGCCGCGUGAGUGAUGAAGGCCUCGGUUGUAAAGACGUCUUUUGUCCGGGGACCGGAUCGAUGACGGUACCCGGACGGAAUAAG